rnacentral:rRNA from 1 species
UACGGAGGGUGCGAGCGUUGUCCGGAUUUACUGGGCGUAAAGGGCGCGUAGGCGGCCACCGCAAGUCGACUGUGAAAUCUCCGGGCUUAACCCGGAACGGUCAGCCGAUACUGCGGGGCUAGAGUGCAGAAGGGGCAACUGGAAUUCUCGGUGUAGCGGUGAAAUGCGUAGAUAUCGAGAGGAACACCUGCGGCGAAGGCGGGUUGCUGGGCUGACACUGACGCUGAGGCGCGAAAGCUAGGGGAGCAAACAGG